GGCCCUAUAGUUCAAUGGAUAGAACAAAAGUUUCCUAAACUUUAGAUCCCGGUUCGAUCCCAGGUGGGGCUACCA
rnacentral:tRNA from 1 species